ensembl:lncRNA
GGUAAAGAUGGACUACCUGGACCCCUUGGACCUCCAGGAGAUAAAGGCAAUAAGGUGUUUUUGUUUUUUUUGUUUUUUGUUUUUCUAGUUUGAUCUUCAUUAUAAUUAUGUAAAAUGUAUUGGUUCUUCCAUUGUGGCCUUGUAUUGUAUGAGACGUUUUGUUUAUAAAUGUAUUGGGCAAAGGGACUGAGAGGAGCCAGUGGACUGAAGGGAGUUGCCGGUAUCGAUGGUGAAGAGGUAGAUUGCUUUUAAAUCUUGAUAAUGUACGGUAGUUUGUCUAAUCGAUUAAUAUGAAAUUCUGCUUUUAGAAAUAUUCAUAUAAUGCAAAGAUAUUUGCUUUGAUUCUCCUAAAUAGUUUGUUUGAGAACUUUCUACAUUUACACUACCUUUUAAACGUUUGGGUCAAUAAGUUUUUCUUAUAUUCAGCACGGCUACAGAACAUUUUCUCUACCACAAUUUUUUUUGUGGUAGAGAAACUGUAUUAAAUAAGAUGGGUAACCUUAUUUUUCUUCUUUUUUUUAGGGCCCAAUGGGUGAAACUGGACCAGUUGGACCAGUAGGAAGUAAAGGCUUGCCUGUGAGUACAAAUUCUCUGUUGCUGUAUGUUUGCAACAUUUCAUACAUGUACGUUGUGUUAUGGUGUUUUAUGUAAAUGAUACACAGGACAGAACUGUCGGUUGUAGGGUGAGAAGGGUAAAGAAGGAUCUUUUGGUGAUCGUGGCCCAAAAGGACUCCAAGGAGAGAAUGGAAAUCGAGGACCAGCUGGAGUCAAAGGACCAAAAGGACAAGAAGUAACAAUAUGGAUUUGAUUUUUUAAUUAUUUCUUACCAUAAAUUAUUAACAAAAAGAUUGUGCAUGUUUGUUUUUUGUCAGGGGUUGAGUGGUUCCCCGGGGCAGAAGGGAGAUCCUGGUUUCCCUGGUGAACAAGGUCAGCCAGGUGUGAGAGGUCACUCAGGUUUGGUUGGAAAAUACGGUCCUGGGGGGAACAUGGGAGAAUCUGGUGAAAAAGGUGACAGAGGUCUAUGUGGACUUGUUGGCGCGACAGGAACAAAUGGGCCUCCAGGUCCAAAUGGUGCUGUUGGGUUACCGGUAAGUUAG